rnacentral:ncRNA from 11 species
UGGUUGGCCGAGUGGUUAAGGCGAUUGACUCGAAAUCAAUUGGGCUCUGCCCGCGCAAGUUCAAAUCCUGCACCA